AAGAAACGGGUGACCAUCCUGGUGGAUGGAGGGGAGAUUGAACUGUUCAAUGGAGAGGUGAAUGUUAAGAGACCUCUGAAAGAUGAGUCUCACUUUGAGAUGGUGGAGUCGGGCCAGUACGUCAUCCUGCUGCUGGGUCAGGGCCUUUCUGUGGUCUGGGACCACCGCCUCAGCAUCUCCGUGGUCCUGAAGUACACAUACCAGGAACACGUGUGUGGCCUGUGUGGGAACUUCGAUGGUAUCCAGAACAAUGACUUCACCAGCAGCAGCCUUCAGGUGGAGGAAGACCCCAUUGACUUUGGGAACUCCUGGAAAGUGAGCCCACAGUGUGCCGACACAAGAAAGCUGUCACUAGACGUUUCCCUUGCCGCCUGCCACAACAAUAUCAUGAAACAGACAAUGGUGG
rnacentral:lncRNA from 1 species